GAGUCGACGGCGCGGUCAAGGAGUCGACAUGACGGUCAUGGAGUUGACGGCGCCAUCAUGGAGUCGAAGAUCUUCAGGUCGGUCUCUUACCCCUCUCGUUUCUCUCUUUCUGCAGCCCCGGUCUCCCCCUCACUCUCUCUUUUUCUAAACUCUGCAGUGGAUUUUUAGUUCGUACUGUAUGCAAUUGGGACAAAAAAAAUCAUGGCUAGCAUAAUUAUAUGCUAGCCGUGAGCUUUUUUUU
rnacentral:lncRNA from 1 species